GAAAAAAUAAAAAAUAGAUAAAGGGGAAGAAAAUCUAACCCCCAUGGGGUAAAUGGUGCGAGACUUCUUUCCAACAGGCAUCUUCUCUAGGGUUGAUACUUUCCUUACCCUUCUUUCAUUUCCAUUAUUCUUCACCUCAUCGAAGGAAAAAUCAACCGAAAAUGCUACAAACUAAAUUGCAGAGAGAGUCAACAGUGGAGGCGGAGGAAUAGCAGGAAAACGCAAGGAAAUCGAUGUGAUAUGUGGAUCUGAGGCUUGUUCUAAUCUCUUUGCCCAAAAUAGAAGUGGGUCUUCGGGAUUAAUGAUUACGAUGAAGAGAGAGAGGGAAUCGAUGAGGACAGGUGCCAUUAUUUUCUCUUUCAGCGUUUGCAUGGGAACCUGUCGCAACCCGUCGCUCCUGGUACGAGGCCGGGCGGAGCUCAGCAGGAGCUUCCAAGUUUUAGCAUUCGAGUGGCUUGCCA
rnacentral:lncRNA from 1 species